GACUGCGUAGCUCAGUUGGAAGAGCAUUGGGCUAGUAUUCCAAAGGUCGUAGGUUCGAAUCCCGCCGUGGCCA
rnacentral:tRNA from 1 species